rnacentral:misc_RNA from 1 species
UAAUUUAAGUGUUUUAUGGCACUUUUUAAAUCCAUAUCCACCUUGUGUGCAUGUCAGUCGAUCUUCUUCAUGGAGAUCGACCAAACAUCAACCUUUAUUUUUAACUCUUUGUCUGAAAAAUAUUAUGAAUAAACAAUUCAAAGUA